UACGGAGGGUGCAAGCAUUGAUCGGAAUUACUGGGCGUAAAGGGCGCGUAGGCGGUUAGGUAAGUCAGAUGUGAAAUUUUGGGGCUCAACCCCGAGACGGCAUUUGAAACUACCUAGCUAGAGUACAGUUAGGGUAAACGGAAUUCCACGUGUAGCGGUGAAAUGCGUAGAUAUGUGGAAGAACACCGGUGGUGAAGACGGUUUACUGGGCUGAAACUGACGCUGAGGCGCGAAAGCAUGGGGAGCAAACAGG
rnacentral:rRNA from 1 species